AGCGAACGCUGGCGGCAGGCCUAACACAUGCAAGUCGAGCGCCGUAGCAAUACGGAGCGGCAGACGGGAGAGUAACACGUGGGAACGUACCCUUUGGUUCGGAACAACCCAGGGAAACUUGGGCUAAUACCGGAUAAGCCCUCACGGGGAAAGAUUUAUCGCCGAAGGAUCGGCCCGCGUCUGAUAGCUAGUUGGUGGGGUAAUGGCCCACCAAGGCGACGAUCAGUAGCUGGUCUGAGAGGAUGAUCAGCCUCACUGGGACUGAGACACGGCCCAGACUCCUACGGGAGGCAGCAGUGGGGAAUAUUGGACAAUAGGCGCAAGCCUGAUCCAGCCAUGCCGCGUGGGUGAUGAAGGCCCUAGGGUUGUAAAGCCCUUUCGGCGGGGAAGAUAAUGACGGUACCCGCAGAAGAAGCCCCGGCUAACUUCGUGCCAGCCGCCGCGGUAAUAC
rnacentral:rRNA from 1 species